ACUGACAAAUUGCCUUCCAAAGUGACUGUACCAUUUCACAUUACCACCAGCAAUGAAUAAGAGCUCCUUCAUUUCACAUCCUCAUCAUCAGUAGCGUUAUCAGUGUUUUGGAUUUUGGAUGUUCUAAAAGAUCUCCUUCCUCUACCUUUAGUUUGCUGCUUCUAAUCUAAUGGACUUGGGAGAAGCCACUUACGAGAAUGGUAGGAGCCUCGCCUCUGUCUGGCACAGGGUAAGUACUCAAUAAAUAUUUGUGAAAUGAAUGAUUUUUUUAAAAAGUUCCUCUUUUUCCAAGUUCCUGUUCCAUGACUCCAUAAUUAAGCAUCUAUCAUAUGAUAGGCACACUAUAAAAGCCUGUUCAAUGCACCCUCUUUCAGCAUGAUGGAGUGGCAAGAUAAGGGACUUUGAAGGUGAUCUUAUUUGGGGUUAAAGGUAUGGACUUGCAAAGGGUCCUUAACCUCUCUAAACUCCAAUUUAAUCACACAUAGAUUAUUUUUCUAAUCUCAAAGGACUGUUAGAACUACUUUAGAAUAAAUAAAACAGUUACACGUAACAUCUGACCCAGAAUAUAAGUUCAAUAUAUUUUAGUUGUUUUCUUUUAUUGCUUCACUUCCAUUUUUAGCCACCUUUUCUCUAUUAUUAUGUCCAUGCAAAACAAAAAAAGAUGAAGCAAAGUAGCAAUAAUACAUCAAAGCCCACAAUAGAAUUGGAAAACGCUGUGUGUGUGCCUUAUGUGUGAUUCACCCUGUGAGUUCUAGGGGCCAGAUAAGAUCUGGUUAUGUUAUGCAUGAUUAUAUUGAAUUUUUCGUAGACUUUGAACCUUAGGAAUUAAAAACAUAUCUUCUAUUUUGUGAUAUUUUUGUAGUCUACAUUGUCAUUUGUUUGAAGAUUCAUUAAUAUUGACUAAUAAUGAUGUCAGUUCUCUUAGCAGUGUAAAAUACAAUGACAUCACUGAAAUUCAUGUAGAAGAAAUUGUUUUUGUUUCAUGACUUAAUCUAUCUCUUCUAAGAGCUGUUCGUUGACAAAUUAUUUUCAUUAUGUGAAUGUUAGCUGGUGGGAGGGGGAGGAUGGAGCUGAGGGCUAAUGGGAGAGAAUAAAAUGGUCUAAGUAUUUACAAAUGAGAUCUCUCUAGAGAAGUAGAUUUUAUCAGUUAAUACAGCUAAAAAAUAAAUAAAUAAAUAAAAGCUAAUGCUUCCUUCCUGUCUUCUCAUUCUGGGUGUACAUGGAACAGAAUCAGUUGGAGAUCCCACUACCUGCACAGGUUGUGAGCCCUGGGCAACCAUUACUGACAGGAAUUUGUUGUGUUCCUCAUGAUAAAAAAAAAAAAUGCUUGAAAAUGUCAAUGUGUGUGUUUUCAUGGCUUAGAACAAUGCUUGAGAAUAUCUUUGUCUCUGUUUUCAUGGCUUAUGAAUAUAAAAAUGGUAAGUUUUCACUCAAAUCAUUUGGUCAGCAGUCACAAAUUCAGAUAUAAUGUCAUCUACCUUCACUCUUGUUCAUUCUUUAACUGACUCUUGAUUGUCAAUCUUGUACCCUGGGUUAGUGAGUCUAGUCCUGCUGGUAAUUGUUAUGGUGCUGAUUCCUGGGAAUUUGGAUUGGAGAUGAAGGGAGGGAGAACUAAAUAGAGGCAACUAUCCAUUAUGAAUAUAAACAUUACUGUGAUUUCUUAUAAUGUAUUUUUCUCUUACCCUGUAUUAGAAUCUGUAAAACCAAGGUUCCACAUUCAGAACUCUAACUGCUCUGGCUUAUUUGAGAAGUCUUUGUCAAUGUAGGCCUCUUUACUAUUAUAGUUUUGGGCAGAAACCUUUGCAAGAGCCACUGAAUUAAUGAGAUAGUACUUUGAGGAAAAAUCGGAAAGAAUUUAUUGAAUCCCUGAGUAGAAGGAUUCUGUAGCAGAGGUUCUUAUCAGUCUCUCAACAGAGGCUGGGCUGUAAUAAAAUUUUUACUGGUUUGCUGCAAAUGAGAAAAGCACAAAUAACAACUGUAAGUUUUCCAUGAGACUAAAAUAUUUCAAUUCGAAUUGCUUUCUUUGUUCUCAAAUUAUAAAUUUCUUGUCUUUUUGCUCGGAGAGGAUUAUUUCUUUUAUGAGACAAUGGUAAAUAAUAGUAAAAAUGAAUGGGAGUCUUUUAAAAUGUUAUUAAUGUCAUUAAUUGGCAAAAUAUCAUUUUAGUCCCCCUACAUUAAAAAAUUAUGAUCUGUAAAAAAAUUAGGAAAACACUUCACUAGGGAUAAUCUAUUAUAAUGAUUUAAAAAAUAUAGUGAAUAACCCCUCCAUUUUUCCCACAAAAUGAAAGUUUAUAUGGAAACUUAUGUGCAAAGUAAAAUUUCUCUGGUUGGAACAAGAUGGGGGAGGCUACUGAUCUUCUCCUCAGCUCCUGAGAUAACCCUUUCAUAGAAUCCUUGGGCUCCCUCAAACAUAGUUUUAGAAGGAUUGGUUUGGAUGACAGUUUUUCAACCUUGACACUCUUGCUGUUUUUGGCUGCAAAGCUGGAAAGUUCUUUGUUGUGGGGACUAUCCUGUGCAUUGUAGUUUGAUUAGCAACAUUGCAUGUCUCUCUAAUGCAAGGAGCACUCACCUCUUCUAAUUAUGAAAAACAAAAAUGUCAGUAGCACCCACCUCUUCUAAUCGUGAAGAAACGAAAACGUCUCCAGAUACUGCUGAAUGUCCCCUGUGUGUGGGUGCAGGGGUCAAAAUUGCCCCCAGUUGAGAACUACUGUUCUAGGCAACAUAUGAACCCAUACAGUGCAGAUAUGAAGAGAUGAGCUAAGUAGUAUUGUGAUGCUUUUUGCUUUUCUAAAAAAAAUCUGUUAUUCCACCAUAUUUCCUCUGUUCAAACUAUGUUUGGACUCUAUGUGCCAAGGAAAUUGAAGUCACAGCUGAAAUGCAAAGAAAAACAAAAUAAGGUAAUGCUCAGCUUCUGAUCUCCCAAGAUCUAGAGCCUAGAUUAAACAAUAAAUUUGGAAGAAUACAUAGCUAUCCUGUUUUACCUGGCACAGUGAGUGAAUAUAAAACCUUCUAGGCUAGAAGAGACAGGCUAGAGAUUUUAGAAAGGAAGUAAGAGUAUUAGAUGAGGUGUGAAAGUUCUGUGUGUAUGGUGAGGGGGGCAGAAUAGAAUUUUUUUUAGAGUUGAGGAUCUAAGAUUAGAAAGCAGUCUUCCUCUCCCUGUGGAUGAAGCCGUAAAAAGCAGAGAACUCCCAAGCAACCCUGGGAUGGGCACCAGAGAAUGGAAAUGCCAUUGUGGUCUGUCUAGGUGUAAGAAGACCAAAGAAAAACUGUCAUGUUUCCUGCAGCCACAAAGAGGGACUGGAGAACAUACAAAAGUUCUUGUGCCUUAUUCCCUGCACCUUGCUCUGUGUGAAGGAAAAUGAGCUAUGAAACAUGUCAAGGGGCAUGUAGAGGUUUUGUCCUUGCAGGGGAUGCCACAUUGAAGACUACAGAGUGGAACAACCCUCUAAGGACUGAAUGAUACUCUAGUUACACUUCAACCAGUGCUGGCAUAGAAGACGACAUGUCUGCAGACCAGAGAGGACCUGAUACAUCUGAUAUGAUUCCAUAACAGGAGAGAUACUGAUCAAGAUUGUGAAGAACAUACAUCCAUCACCAAUGCCUCAGUUCCUUACUGUAAGCCCUAGAAUUGAAGAGUGAUAGGUGAAUCUCGAAUGUCAUGGAGCCUAAAUCUGAAAUGUCUAAGGGAAAUCAUAAUCAGGAAGGCAGCUGAAUUUACCACCAUGUAAUUGUAUCAUAUUUUCUGCACUGUGCUGAAUGGAGUUUGAGAUGGACAUCUAUUCCUCUUCAUCUCCACUUUGCAUGUUCCCCAUAAUAUUGCCAGUAGAAUGAUCUAACAAGUAAAAUACCUUCAUUCAAGCAAAAAGACAAAAUACUAAAAAA